CAGGACAGCCAGGGCUAUAUAGAAAAACCAUGUCUCAAAAAACCAACCCCCCCCCAAAAGUAAAAUAUACAGAGGUAGAGCUAGUUAAUCAAAGUUAGAUAGGGGAUUUACGAUGGCAUUGCCAUCCAGAGGACAACUUUGAGGUCCUCAGCAUACAUAAAUUCUGCUUCCUCUCUGCCCAGCUUCUGCUCUCCUUAGGAUGGGACGAUCUACUUGCAGCCACGGGCUAUCAAUUCAAUUUUUUAGCAUUACUUUCUCAACAACCUGAUAGUUUUUCCAGUAUUAAGGUCCUAUGCUCAUUAUGAGCCGAACAAGGACAGCAACACACGUACUAAGGAAGACCACAAGUCUUGAAUCCCACACAAAAAUCUAUGGGCCACUAAGAUGCUCACAGCCGAAGGAAAGCCCUCCCGAGGGAAGAGCACACCCAUUGUUUAUCCAAUACCAAUUAAUCACCCCUGAAAACAUACAUUAUACAGACUGAACAGGUUAUACUUAGAAAUAUACAUAUGUGCAUGUAACAAUGGGAAAGAGGUCAUAAAUUGGAAAGCAGUAGGGGAGAAAGGAAAGGGAGAAAUAAUGUAAUUAUAUUACAAUCUGAAAAAUAAUUUUAAUUAGAUGUGCUUCCAAUCCUGACCUUUGAGGUAGGAUGACACAUGUCCUUUAUCCAGAUCCUGAGGCAGGAAGACACACCUUUAACCUAGGCCACAACUUCAGUUGAAAGUCUAUGUAAGAAAAUGGAAGGAGGAAGCCUUUGCUCUUUGCCUGCUCUUUUUUGCCUUGCUAGCAAGUCCUUUCCUUUCCUGACAUUACAGCCUAAUUCUUCAGGGUUUCAAGCGUACACUGAAAUAGUAUGAACACUGAAAACCAGCUGAGACAUCCUGCCUUGUGGACUGAGCAACUACUAGAUUCUUGGACUUUCUGUGCCUAGCCAGUCACUGUUGGAUUAGUUGGACUGCAGCCUGUCAGUCAUUCCAGAGUCCUGGAGACCAAAGGCACCCUAAGAAACCACCCUUUCACAUCAGAGCUGAAAUAAGUAACAAAGCAUUGGAGGCAAAAUAGUAUGAGCUUGGCAUCACAAAACAACCAAAUCUCAGAGGUGCUAAUAUGGGUGGAGUUCUCAGGCCUGCCAAACACUGCUAAUUUUCAUUAUCACUCUAAGCAAUGACCACUGCGAAGCAGGAGGCUCCUACAGCACUCUUCAAUUACUUUAAGGCUCUCGAAUUCACAAGAUGAAGUCAUAUCCACAGGCAUAGGAGUUAAACCAAAGUAACGACCAAGUUCCAACACACAGCAAAACCAGGACAUUUUAGAUGAAUAUAGAUUUAGUCUGCUUUGCUUAAAUGUGUAAGUUCCCAAAAAUAUCAAUCACAUGGCCGUUUUACACUUGAAGAGGUCUGCAUGCAGCAGGUCAUCUAGAGCAUUCCUGAUAGUUUCAACACAAACUUCUCCUUGCUGGUGUUUUUUUGAAGCAAGAUUCCACACAUUUUCGAACUCUUUUUCAGAAAGCUUGACUCCAAUGUUAGUUAAUAUAUCUGAAAUCUAGAAACAAUGAAUUUAAUUCCAGACUAAGAUUUAUGUUUUUAAUUUUGUAUUUUAAAAAUUAAGUACAUAAAAUAAAAUAAAAUAAAAUAUAUAUUUAAAAAAGCCUUUUAACAUUUAAUAUGACAGUCACUGGUCCUCCACAAAAGUACAUGUGUUCACAUAUGCAUAUGUGCCCAUACAUAUGAAAUUAGCAGACAUCAAAGUUGUAGUACUUUUCAGGCAUCGUGGGAAUGCAUUCCUGUAGCUCCAGCACUUGGGAGGCUAAAGCAGGAAUGUUGAAGUUCAAAGCCAAAAGCCAGCCUGGACUACAUAGUGAAUCUGAGAUAAGCCUGUGCUGUAGAGUGAGACCUUUUCUCAUUCUUAUUUAUUUUUAUUAUUAAAAACAAAACAAAGGUGCGAAGGUGCUGGCUGCCAAGACCUUAAUUUGAUUCUCUAAGCCCACAUAAUGGAAGGAGAGAACCAAGUCCCUCAAGGUGUCCUCUGAUAUCCACACAUACUCAGGCAUACAUGAAAUACAUAGGCCCAUGUGCACACACACAUACACACAGAGAGAAAUAAAUUAUAUUUUUUAAAAUGUAACUCCCAAAAUAAAAAUUCAGUAAAUGUAAGUGAAGAAAAGCAGGUGGACAUGGUCAUCUGUGCUUGUCAUCACUUGGGAGGCAGAGGCAGAAAGAUGCUCUUGAGUUGAAGGCCUACCUGGCCUACACAGUGAGACCCUGUUUGAAGGGGGAAAGAAUUAUAUAAUAUACUGAGGGAAGAAAAAGAACUUUGAAGCACAUUACAACCAAACUGAAUAUCAUUCAUCAAGAAUCCUAUAUUCGGGCUGGAGAGAUGGCUCAUCGGUUAAGAGCACUGACUGCUCUUCCAGAGGUCCUGAGUUCAAAUCCCAGCAACCACAUGGUGGCUCACAACCAUCUGUAAUGGGAUCCGAUGCCCUCUUCUGGAGUGUCUAAGACAGCUACAGUGUACUCACAUACAUAAAAUAAUUAAAUAAAUCUAAAAAUUUAAAUAAAUAAGAAUCCUAUAUUCAAGGACCCCUAUACAAGCCAUAAUUCUGAAAAGUCAAAACUGAUAGUCAUGGCCUGGGGCUGGGGCUAAGGCUGGGGCUCAGCUCAAAAAGCUCUUGCCUACCAUGCACAAACCCUGGAUUUGAUCUCCAGCACCACAAGUGCCAGGCACGUACCUGCACUCAGGAGGUGGAGGUGAGAGGAUCAGAAGUUCAAAACCAGCCUCAGCUAUGAGGCUGAUUCAGAGGCUGGCCUGGACUACACAAGAUGAUAAUAAAAUUGAUGUUGAUGUGGCCAGGCGUGGUGGCGCGAGCCUUUAAUCCCAGCACUUGGGAGGCAGAGGCAGGUGAAUUUCUGAGUUCAAGGCCAGUCUGGUCUACAGAGUGAGUUCCAGGACAACCAGAGAAACCCUGUCUUAAAAAGAAAAAAAAUUGAUGAUGAUGAUAAAUAUUGUGCAUCAUAUUAAAAAAUAUGUAAAAUAAAUAAAUAAAUAAUAAAAAGCAAUAUGUAAUCCCUGAAUUCAGUAGGAGGAAUCAAGAGGAUCAUGACUUCACAUUCAGUCUGGGCUACCUAGCAAAGCUCAGUCUCAAAACAAAACAAAUCAAUAAGACACUAGUCAAGUAUGUUUGUUCGUGCCCGCAAUCCCAAUGCUUUGGGAAGCCGAGACAGAAAAACCACCAAGUCCUGAAGGCCAGUCUGGGCUGCAUAGUGAGUACCAGGCCAGAGAAGGGUAAGCAGUGAAUGCCAUCUCGAAAAAACAAAAUAAAAGACAACAGCAACAAUGGUGGUCACGAAAAUAAUAGUGAUCAUUGCUAAGUCCAAAGUUGGAGGUGAUCUCUGUACCUCUUCCUUUGACCUGGUCUUGAAGAAGUCUCUCUGGGAGAAGAUGGAGGGGUGCAGCAGAGACUAAGCAUUGCCUUCGUCACCGUAGUUAUUCACGUCACUGACUCGACGAAUCCGGGAGCAGAGAUGUCAGAUGGGAUGGUUGGAACACCGUAGGUGGGAACCUAGGCCAUCAAUGAGGGAGACAAAGACAUCCUGAACCCAGCUGUAGAACAGCAGCCAUGAGCCACACUUGGCCACAGACCCCUUGAAAUGUAGCUAGCCUAAACAACAAUGUGCUUGCAUAAAAUCCAAACACUGCAUAAAAGAAGAGUGUAGCCAAACACAGUGGGAUUCACCUUGGUUCCAAGGACAUGACAGGCUGAGGCAAGAGAAUAAUACUUGAACACAGAAGUCCAAGUAGAGCUUAGGAAAGUAUUCAACUUUCUUAUCCAUGAGAGUCUCAGUUUUAUUAAUACAGAGCUGCUUUUGAACUUGGGCCAUCGUCAAGAGGUCAGUCAAACUUACCCGUGAGACCUCAGGGUGCUUACAAUACACAGUUAAACUUAAGGCCUUGAGAAACUCUAGAGUCAGAUGCAGAGAGCAACUAGGAACGCUGCAAGAUCACACUAGGAACACUGCCCUUCCAGACGUGCUGCAGAUCGGUUAACUGGACGAGGGAUGAGGCAUGCUUACACAUCGAGGGGACAGCUCCAACCACAGCGUUGAUCUCAGAAGACGUUGUUAUUCCGGUGAGAAACUCUGUCACCUGGUGUCUGGAUUGUCCGGAUAGUCUCUUCUGGACUUCCUGGUUCUUUGGGGACAAUGUCUUCAGGAUUUAUCAGGAGACUUGGUUCAGCUUCUCCCAUGCUAGUCGCAGUAACAUUUUCACAGUCUGGUUUUUUACCUUUAAGAAAAACCCAAAGGAGGAGACAAGAAAGCACGGGAAGAUGUCAGUUCUUGGUGCCUGGUGCUCUGUAGCAAGCUGGAUUAUUUGCUUCAGUAGGUAAAGGCACUGGCCACUUGCCACCAAGCCUGACAACCUACAUUAGAGCCCUGGGAGGCAUAUGGUAGAAGAAAUGAACUGACUCUCUCAAAUUAUUCUCUGACCUUCACAUGCACGCCAUGACAUGUUCAACCCCAUACAAGGACAAACACAAUAACAGCAGUAAUAGUGAUAAUGGUAAUAAUAAAUGCAAUGGUUUUUCAGGAUGAA